CUGCGGCCGAUAUUAGAUCUGCACGCUCUGAACGAGUACAUGAGGAAGUACAAGUUCAGGAUGCUGACGCACACAGCUCUACUGCACUUCGUGCGUCAUGGAGACUGGUUUGCUUCAAUAGAUCUAAAGGACGCCUAUUUCCAUAUCCAUAUCCCCCUCACAGAAAGGGGGCGAUGCUAAAAUUCAAACUUUGUCUCAGGCUGCUGGGAUUGAUGGCGUCGGCACUAACUGUCAUCUCUCUCGGCCGCCUACACAUGAGACCAUUUCAGCAGUGGGUUGCGUCGCUAAGAUUGAGCCCCACGCACCACUGCCAUCGCCAAGUGUCGGUCUCCUUGGCGUGCGUCCUGGCACUGCGCCCCUGGAGACGCAUGGCUUUUCUGACUACAGGCCUCGCAGAUGCAGAUGUUUCAUAUAAACUACCUGGAAGUCCAGGCUGUCUUUCUG